UUUAAUUUAAGAUUAAGGAGAAAAAAAAAAAAAAUUUAAACUGUUAGAAAGGGAACACCUGUGUGAGGAGGACCGUAAUAUGCGCUCAACUUGAGCCUGCGACCUAUCUGAGCCGCCCUCCAGCUUGCCCUGUAGUACCUGGGGAGUCGAAAGUUAUGGCUGGUUAGGGCGAGAGUGUGCCUUUGGUACCUGGGCAUGUGUUAAAGGGACAGCUCUCUGGGUAUUUACUUUCGCCGAACGGCGAGUGAGGGGGGUGUUGGGUGUGCGUAUCCUCCAAUUGGAUGUCAGGAGUGGCCCUGUGGAGUGGUUCAGAUGGGCCUUAACCAAGGGGAUAGCGGGGGGGGGGAGGUGAAGUGUGGUCGUGGUGUCAUAGUGUUUAAUGAACUAAGGACCUGUGUGGAAGCUAUACAAGGGCAAUGAAAAACAAUACAUUCAAACUUUUCAUAACAGGUAAUAUAAUGAAAUGAGAGAACACUUUCACUGGCUCCUGUCAGUGCCGACUGGUUGUUUAGGACUGCUGGGGUUGUAGACUCUCCGGUCCCGGUCAGGUCGUUGGGCUCGUAGAUGCCGUCAGUCGUGGGAUGAAUGGUGCGGUAUUGGCUGGGUCCCAUAUCUAGGCUGCGUCUGAUGGGGUAUGUUGGCAGGUAUGUCUGGCAGUCCCAUCUUUACUAGAAGUGCGGGUACCUCCAUCUCAGAGGAUAUCUUGUGGGUGAUUCCAUUGUGGGUAAUUAACAGGAAUCUCUGUGCUCCCCAGCGGUAAGGCUCUCCUAUUGUGCGUAGGUGACUUGUGAGGUGGCUCAGCGACUUGCGCCAUUGCAAUGUGGCUUGGGUUAAGUCCUGGAAGAAUGAUAAUUGGGCCGUUUCAAAUGUAAGAGGAGUUUUACCUCGGGUUGCGGACAUAAUGGGGUUCAAAUCAUGAGAGGUGGCACAGCACAGUAUGACAUGCCUGUUAGCUGCAGCGGGUACCUUGGGAGUAGCUGGUAGUCGGUAUAGGCCAUCCAACACAAUUUUCCAGCUAUCUGCCAGUGGCAGGAUGGUGGCUAGGAGUCUCCUUACAUAAUGUGGUAGUUCGUCAGCUUGUAUGUCAGCGGGUAUUCCUCAGAUUUUUGGUUGCGUCAAGCGCAGUCUUUAUGAGUGGACAUUUGCAGUGUUAGACUUUGCUGUGAGGUUUGCAGUUGAUGUAUUGUGUGUUUCACGUUUGUCAAGCCAAUUUGUAUGUCCAUGAUGUCUUCCUAUGUCACUCACACAAGGCUGGACACUUUUAAGAGUCCGACAUCUAUAGCCAGCAUUGCUGUAUG